AUUGAACGCUGGCGGCAGGCCUAACACAUGCAAGUCGAACGAGUGGCGGACGGGUGAGUAAUGUCUGGGAACCUGCCCGAUGGAGGGGGAUAACUACUGGAAACGGUAGUUAAUACCGCAUACCAUCGGAUGUGCCCAGAUUGGAUUAGCUAGUAGGUGGGGUAAUGGCCAACCUAGGCGACGAUCCCUAGCUGGUCUGAGAGGAUGACCAGCAACACUGGAACGGAGACACGGUCCAGACUCCUACGGGAGGCAGCAGUGGGGAAUAUUGCACAAUGGGCGCAAGCCUGAUGCAGCCAUGCGGCGUGUAUGAAGAAGGCCUUCGGGUUGUAAAGUACUUUCAGCGAGGAGGCGUUACUCGCAGAAGAAGCAUCGGCUAACUCCGUGCCAGCAGCCGCGGUAAUUC
rnacentral:rRNA from 1 species